UACAGAGGUCUCAAGCGUUGUUCGGAUUCAUUGGGCGUAAAGGGUGCGUAGGUGGCGCGGUAAGUCGGGUGUGAAAUUUCGGAGCUUAACUCCGAAACUGCAUUCGAUACUGCCGUGCUUGAGGACUGGGGAGGAGACUGGAAUUUACGGUGUAGCAGUGAAAUGCGUAGAUAUCGUAAGGAAGACCAGUGGCGAAGGCGGGUCUCUGGACAGUUCCUGACGCUGAGGCACGAAGGUCAGGGGAGCAAACGGG
rnacentral:rRNA from 1 species